GCAUACGAUCUAAGGAUGAAAGCGGGGAUCGCAAGACCUCGCGCGAUUGGAGCGGCCGAUAUCAGAUUAGGUAGUUGGUGAGGUAAAGGCUCACCAAGCCAACGAUCUGUAGCUGGUCUGANAGGACGACCAGCCACACUGGAACUGAGACACGGUCCAGACUCCUACGGGAGGCAGCAUGGGGAAUUUUGGACAAUGGACGCAAGUCUGAUCCAGCCAUUCCGCGUGCAGGAUGAAGGCCCUCGGGUUGUAAACUGCUUUGUACGGAACGAAAAGGUUUGUCUUAAUACGAUGAGCUCAUGACGGUACCGUAAGAAUAAGCACCGGCUAACUACGUG
rnacentral:rRNA from 1 species